rnacentral:lncRNA from 1 species
AGAGGAGAAGAAGAAGAGGAGUAGGAGGAGGAGGAGGAGAAUAAAAAGAAGAAGAAGAAGAAGAAGAAGAAGAAGAAGAAGAAGAAGAAGAAGAGAAGAAAAAAAUAAGAAGGAGAAGAAAAAGAAAAAGAAGAAGAAGAGAACAAAAAAAUAAGAAGGAGAAGAAGUAAAGAAGAAGAGAAGAAGAAGAGAAGAAGAGAAUAAUAAAAAAAUAAGAAGGAGAAGAAGAGAAAAAAGAAGAAGAAGUUGAUUUUUUAUUGUUUGGUAUUUAGUGGUAGCUAGAUUCUUUUUUAGUUACUUAGUGCUAGAUUCUGUUUUUGUUAUAG